GAUGAACGCUGGCGGCGUGCCUAAUACAUGCAAGUCGAGCGAACGGACGAGAAGCUUGCUUCUCUGAUGUUAGCGGCGGACGGGUGAGUAACACGUGGAUACCCUACCUAUCAGACUGGGAUAACUUCGGGAAACCGGAGCUAAUACCGGAUAAUAUUUUGAACCGCAUGGUUCAAAAGUGAAAGACGGUCUUGCUGUCACUUAUAGAUGGAUCCGCGCUGCAUUAGCUAGUUGGUAAGGUAACGGCUUACCAAGGCAACGAUGCAUAGCAGACCUGAGAGGGGGACCGGCCACCCGGGAACUGAGACACGGCCCAGACUCCUACGGGAGGCAGCAGUAGGGAAUCUUCCGCAAUGGGCGAAGGCCUGACGGAGCAACGCCGCGUGAGUGAUGAAGGUCUUCGGAUCGUAAAACUCUGUUAUUAGGGAAGAACAUAUGUGUAAGUAACUGUGCACAUCUUGACGGUACCUAAUCAGAAAGCCACGGCUAACUACGUG
rnacentral:rRNA from 1 species